GACAGAGUUUGAUCAUGGCUCAGAACGAACGCUGGCGGCAGGCUUAACACAUGCAAGUCGAACGGAUGUAGCAAUACAUCAGUGGCGCACGGGUGAGUAACACGUGGAUAUCUGCCUUUUGGUUCGGAAUAACCCUGGGAAACUAGGGCUAAUACCGGAUGGUUCCUACGGGAUAAAGAUUUAUCGCCAAAAGAUGAGUCCGCGUCCGAUUAGCUAGUUGGUGAGGUAAUGGCUCACCAAGGCGACGAUCAGUAGCUGGUCUGAGAGGAUGAUCAGCCUCAUUGGGACUGAGACACGGCCCAAACUCCUACGGGAGGCAGCAGUGGGGAAUAUUGGACAAUGGGCGCAGGCCUGAUCCAGCCAUGCCGCGUGAGUGAUGAAGGCCUUAGGGUUGUAAAGCUCUUUUGCCCGGGAAGAUAAUGACGGUACCGGGAGAAUAAGCCCCGGCUAACUUCGUGCCAGCAGCCGCGGUAAACCUAAAUAGC
rnacentral:rRNA from 1 species